ACCAUCAUAAUUCCAACUAAAAAUUUUUCUUUUGAUAUCAAAUUUUCUAAUACCUGCUUAUUCUUUCCUUUCUUUUCUUUAUUUUCUUUUUAUAAGUUACAUCUACCUUUAUUCUUCUGAACUCUAGAACAUCCCUCUACUUGUCAUGCUUGCAACUUUUAUUUGAAUCCUUACUUUUCUUUUCACCAAACUCUUUUCAAGGAAUGAUAACUUGAUUCUUACUCACCACAU
rnacentral:lncRNA from 1 species